UUUCAAUGAAAUCGCGUUUCAUCAAGCAAAUCGUAAAUUAAAAUUACAUAAAUUUCAUACAUAAAUAUACGACUGGGUAAGGGCACCCGUAAAUUAACGUAAUGGCGGUCGUUUUUGUCAUCCAAGAUGGCAGGAGACGAACAAUUACCAAUGCCAAGGCUUUUAAGGGAGAGAUUGUUCUCGAAAACCUUAGAGAUGAGAACAUUGCUUCGAUAUAUCGUCUAAGUAAGGGCGGAAUAGAGCGAUUGUUGGUUUUGAUCGGGGAAGACAUAGCACCAACUUGCCGGCGAGCUCAUCCCUUUCAUUCCGUCGCUUAGGUAUGUAAAUAAGGCGAAGAAAUCAUUGAUUUAAACAAGUAUAAUUAUAAAAUUGUAUUUAUUUUCAAAUAGCAAAUAAGUAGCAUUUAACCCAAAAACUUGAGAGUAGUUGCCCUUUGUUUACUUAGCAUUUGACAACUCGGAUUUUGCAAAAUGGUUGAAGAAUAAGUUAUUGUUGUAUCUUUUCUUAAUAAAAGCAUUCGAUGAUUACCGUUAUUAGUUUAAGCAUUUAUUGUUGUGUUUCUUUACAAAUGACUUUAUGUUAAACUCAUUCUAUUUUGUGUCGACGUGUACUUAUCGAUGACUUUAAGUGCAGACUGAUUUACCCCACCCGCUAAUGUUGAACUUGUAGUUGUUCUACUUCCAAAUGUUAUGAUUGAACAAUACUUUACCUCGAAAUUGUUGAUUAUAACAUCGUGAUCAUGAAAAUGAAUAUGACAUCAUGAUGUUGUUUGUGUUUGCUAUUUUUAAACAAGUUAUUGUAUUGGUUAGUUAUGUAGAUGCUGAGUAAUGGUACCUUAUGUAUUUAAUAAUUGUCGAAAAAUCAGCUUAAUUGUUUCUAUAUUGUUCUCAUUUGAUUACAAUGUUGUUCGAUCGGUCAUUGUCAGCUCGGAUACUACUUACCUGUACCCCGGGUACUCUUUAAGUAUACUUACAUGUAGAGCUAACCCUGUUACAGUUAAUUAUUAACUUAAUUUUCUUUAAUAUAGCCGGCAAUUUAAUGCUAAAUGGGUUGUUGUAGGCUUAAUUUUUUUAAUUAUGUUCACAUUAAUGUCAUUUUUUUUCUCAAAUAGUCUUUAUAUCAUCAAAAUUUAUACUCAAAAAGCAUGUUGAUGCAGUUUUUUCAAAAGGUAAGUUUAAUUUAGAUAAACAAUAUGGCUUUACAUUUAUCUGUAGUGCACUGUACCACAUCGAAUUUUGGGCAAUAAUACAACUCGGGUACAGUCUAAUAAGGACCGGGUACGUUUAAGUAUAUUAACCUUACCCGAGGUACAUGCAAGUAUGCUUAAUGAUACCAGGGGUACAUGUAAGUAGUACCCAUGCUGUGAAUAACCAAUCGAGCGUGAGUAAAGUAGAUUGUACCUUAUGUCUUUAAUAAUUGCAGAACAAUUACCUUAUUUAUUUCUAUAUUGUUUCCAUUUGAUUACAAUUUAUUUAUUUGUCAAAUUCAAUUCUGCAGUGCUAUAAAUAUGCACCCCCAUCCCAAAAAUUUAUUUCGUGCAUAUUGAUGGGGCUUUUUUAUUUAUUUACUCCUUUUCUGCAUUCCUCCCUUUUGUGUUGGUAAUGUGAACAUGAAAUGAUGAGCACUUUCAUGUUAAUGAAUAACUUUUAUUUUUUUUAUAGAUUUUGGCAUAUUGCAUAUUGCCAAGGGAGAUGUUUACUGAGGAUUCCAUGCCAUUAAUAAUUAUAUGCAGGCUGUUGCUGAUGCCAGCAUGAGCAAUAUCUGAGCACCAAUGAUGAGGGUCAUCUGCUGGGAGAUAGUGGGUAUCCGUUAAGGACUAACCUGAUGACCCCUUAACCUCAUCCCUCCCAUGCUGCGGAACAGGCCUACAAUGACCAUCUAUGUAGAGGAUAUCUGCAUGCCACUGGUGGAUGUUGGCCUUUCAAGUCCAAUAAGUGCUGUGAAAUAUCAACUGUGUACAUGCCCCUGCAUAACCUGUGUCUGGAUUCAAACGUUCCACUGAUAGAGGAAUUGGUUGGAAAUGAGAUGGAACCGGAAGUUAUGAACAACACACCAGUACAUCGAGCAGCAUGUGAUAAGAGGCAGCAGCUGAUCAAACUGUUUCAUAAAAUGUGUUAAAAAUUUAUAGUUAUAAAUGUUAUAAAGUGAUAGAUGGCUCGAGUCUUCUCUGAAUAGGCAGAGCUACACUACUCAGCCAAAUGGCGUAAAGUUGUGUCAUAGCUGAUUUGGAAGGAUUGGUAUUCCUGGUCGUCUAGACACAAUAGUUACAACAGCUGAUGUUUGCAUGUUUUAUAAUUGUGUAUGCAUAAUUUGUCUAAUAUUUACUUCAAGGUUAUAGGUUUGUGAAAGAAAAAAAUGUCAAUGUUCUGAGGACCAAUAAAAAAAGUUAUGUGUUAGGUAUUACCAAGUGCUUGAUUUAAUAUUUAUUUUAAAGGGAACUUUUCCUUAAUUUUGGCAGAUAUUCAAGUUUUUCAUUAAACGCUUUUAUAUUGAUACAUGUAAACACUGGAUCUAAAAAGCUCCAGUAAAAAAAGAAUACAAUUAAAGAAAGAUAAAAAGUAACUCCUACAGGGCUCAAACCACUGACCCCUGAAGUAAAAGCCUCACACUAAGACCACUUGUCCGUCCAUGUUGAUACAAUGAGUGAUGUAUUUUACACUUUAUAUAAGCAAUCCUCAUCUUGCAUAUAAUGGAUAUUUUAGAGCAUGGUAAAUGUUCAGUAUUACUGUUUCCUCACAAAUAUCAUAACUACAACAAAUGUUUGCGAAUCUUAAACUUAUUUUUUUUAAUUUAGUAAAUUUACCAAAACUGGAAAAGGUCCCUUGAAUAUUGAACAGUUAUCUGAGCUCCAGAAAAGAUCAUAUACUCAAGGUACUUUUCCCCAUUAACAAUUAUUCAAGUGAUAUUUUACCCACUGACUUUCGCUCUAAAAGGUGUUCUCUGUAAUGAACAUUCUCAAAGCCACAUUAAAACAAGGGCUGUUAGUAAAACAUGCAUGCCCCCCAUUUGGGCUGUCAGUUGUAGUGGCAGUCAUUGUGUGAAUACGUUUUUUGUCACUGUGAACUUGACCUUUGACUUGGUGACUUGAAAAUCAAUAGGAGUCAUCUGCCAGACAUGAUCAAUGUACCUAUGAAGUUUCAUAAUCCAAGCUGUUGGCAUUCUUGAGUUACCAUCCGGAAACCAUUUUACUAUUUUGAGUCACCGUGACCUCGACAUUUGACCUAGUGACCUGAAAAUCAAUAGGGGUCAUCUGCAAGUCAUGAUCAAUGUACUUAUGAAGUUUCAUGAUCCUAGGCGUAAGCAUUCUUAAUUCAUCAUCUGGAAAUCAUUUUACUGUUUCAACUCACUGUGACCUUGACCUUUGACUUAGUGACCUGACAAUCAAUAGGGAUCAUCUGCCAGUCAUGAUUAAUCUACCUAUGAAGUUUCAUGAUCCUAUGUCCUAAGAUUUCUUGAGUUAUCUAUCAUCCGGAAACCAUCUGGUGGACAGACCGACCAAGCAAAACAAUAUACCCCCUCUUCUUUGAAAGGGGGCAUAAAAAGUGGGCUUGUAAAUGUAACGGUACUUUAUAAUAAUAAGUGUGCUGUCUAUAAAUAUGGAUAUUAUUGUCAUAAAAAAAUAGAAGUUUUCCAAUAUAUUAGAUUGUUUCCGAAUGUAUUUACUAAACUUUACCCCUUUAUGAGUCUCUGUUCAAUUAUUUAGUCAUCUACCGUUAAAAUGUUGUUUACCUGUGCAUUUUUUUGUAUUUUUAUUGAAAUGUUUAUGAUAAUAAUGUUUAUAGUAUUUGAUAACAGUUGCUAUUACACUAGUUUUCAAUGAAUAAAACACAAAGAACA